UGUUUGUAUACUUAUCCACUCCUGGGGACUUAACUGGAAAACUUUCCAAUAAUGUUCGCAAUCUGUGCCAUCUACGAAGAGUUGGUAUCGACCCAAGCCGUGUAAUAUGCAUGUCCUCUGACGUCGAAAUCGUUACAAAAAUGGAAGAUGGAGUAAAUACGGAUCGUAACAGGAAAGGAUAGCGGAUAUUUACAAAUACGGGUGUACCUACUGAAUUUCACCAUGUUCUCUGGUGACGAAAUGUUGAAGAAAGGGGAACUGUAUGUUUAAAAACCUUUCCAUCGCAUUCGCAGCCAACCAUUGAUGCGUGGAAGGAACGUAACAACUCUUCUAUAUCGUUGAAGAGACGGACGGCGAAACACGGCCAAAAAUAAUCCGUCCCCCUGGUCAUGCUGCUCCAGCUCCAGCUCCUGCAUCAAUUGGCACUGCACUGCCCCAGAUUUGGCGUGCAUCUUUUCCAGCAUUGAUUAGACCUCCGCCGGAAUUUGGGGGAGCCAGACCGAAAAAUAUCCGCCCCCCUGGUCCUACUGCUCCAGCUCCAGCUCCUGCAUUAAUUGGCGCUGCACUGCCCCAGAUUUUGCGUGCAUCUUCGCCAGCAUUGAUUAGACCUCCACCGGAAUUUGAGGGAGCCAAAUGCUAUCUUACCGGCAUGUGUGAAGAAGCAACAUCUUGCAUGUUCUGUGACGUGAACCAACGUAAAAGUCAAAUCCGGUCGACGAAGUAAGAAGAAAAAAGAAGAAGAAAGUAUUACUGUUGUAGUCUCAAGCGUGAGUUGUUCGGUAAGCUACCAAAUUGUUAUCUCCUAGAAUUUGGGAUCCUGCUGCUCUACAGUAUAUAACAGAUGCAACGCGGGACGGAAGAAUUCCGUCAAAAGUUCGUUAGCGUGUAUACGACGAAUAUCACGUAGUUCUGAAGCCUAAAUCAGUGCAAAAUAUCAAGCGGAAAGUCAUUGGUAAGUUCACAAUAUGUAUUUAUGCUGAUCAGCAAGUUCACUUACCUUUGUGAAUUCAAUACUUCCACGAGACGAAUGGAAGAACGCCGUGGAUAUACUAAACGUUGUCUGUGAACCGUGAUACACCUGGCAGUGUCGUUAAAGUUGUUCAUGACGAAAACAACGAAGUAGCUCAAAUUGUCAUCCUGAACGAAGAUACAGCGCGAGUUAUUCCAAAAUUCGGUGAUUUGGUAGAGAUCGAUGGGACUUACAAGGUGACCAAAACAGGCAUGCCAGUAAACACCAUUUUAGUCGAAGACGAUUUUGUCAUUGGCAAACCUAUAUGCUAAUACAUGUGUUUGCGAGAAGAAA
rnacentral:lncRNA from 1 species